AGUGAACGCUGGCGGUAGGCCUAACACAUGCAAGUCGAAAGGCAGCACAGUAAGAGCUUGCUCUUACGGGUGGCGAGUGGCGGACGGGUGAGGAAUACAUCGGAAUCUACUUUUUCGUGGGGGAUGACGUAGGGAAACUUACGCUAAUACCGCAUACGACCUACGGGUGAAAGCAGGGGAUCUUCGGACCUUGCGCGAUUGAAUGAGCCGAUGUCGGAUUAGCUAGUUGGCGGGGUAAAGGCCCACCAAGGCGACGAUCCGUAGCUGGUCUGAGAGGAUGAUAAGCCACACUGGAACUGAGACACGGUCCAGACUCCUACGGGAGGCAGCAGUGGGGAAUAUUGGACAAUGGGCGCAAGCCUGAUCCAGCCAUACCGCGUGGGUGAAGAAGGCCUUCGGGUUGUAAAGCCCUUUUGUUGGGAAAGAAAAGCAGCAGGUUAAUACCCCGCUGUUCUGACGGUACCCAAAGAAUAAGCACCGGCUAACUUCGUG
rnacentral:rRNA from 1 species